rnacentral:rRNA from 1 species
UACGUAUGGUGCAAGCGUUGUUCGGAUUUACUGGGCGUAAAGCGCGUGCAGGCGGAUUAUUAAGUCAGGUGUGAAAUCUUUGGGCUCAACCCGAAGACUGCACUUGAAACUAACAGUCUAGAGUCCCGGAGAGGCAGGCAGAAUUCCUGGUGUAGCGGUGAAAUGCGUAGAUAUCAGGAGGAAUACCAAUGGCGAAGGCAGCCUGCUGGACGGUGACUGACGCUCAUACGCGAAAGCGUGGGGAGCAAACAGG